rnacentral:rRNA from 1 species
CCUACGGGUGGCUGCAGUGGGGAAUAUUGCACAAUGGGCGCAAGCCUGAUGCAGCCAUGCCGCGUGUGUGAAGAAGGCCUUCGGGUUGUAAAGCACUUUCAGCGGGGAGGAAGGCGGUGAGGUUAAUAACCUCAUCGAUUGACGUUACCCGCAGAAGAAGCACCGGCUAACUCCGUGCCAGCAGCCGCGGUAAUACGGAGGGUGCAAGCGUUAAUCGGAAUUACUGGGCGUAAAGCGCACGCAGGCGGUCUGUCAAGUCGGAUGUGAAAUCCCCGGGCUCAACCUGGGAACUGCAUUCGAAACUGGCAGGCUAGAGUCUUGUAGAGGGGGUAGAAUUCCAGGUGUAGCGGUGAAAUGCGUAGAGAUCUGGAGGAAUACCGGUGGCGAAGGCGGCCCCCUGGACAAAGACUGACGCUCAGGUGCGAAAGCGUGGGGAGCAAACAGGAUUAGAUACCCUAGUAGUC